AGUGAACGCUGGCGGUAGGCCUAACACAUGCAAGUCGAGCGGCAGCACAGUAAGAGCUUGCUCUUACGGGUGGCGAGUGGCGGGCGGGUGAGGAAUACAUCGGAAUCUACUUUUUCGGGGGGGAUAACGGAGGGAAACUUACGCUAAUACCGCAUACGACCUACGGGUGAAAGCAGAGGAUCUUCGGACCUUGCGCGAUUGAAUGAGCCGAUGUCGGAUUAGCUAGUUGGCGGGGUAAAGGCCCACCAAGGCGACGAUCCGUAGCUGGUCUGAGAGGAUGAUCAGCCACACUGGAACUGAGACACGGUCCAGACUCCUACGGGAGGCAGCAGUGGGGAAUAUUGGACAAUGGGCGAAAGCCUGAUCCAGCCAUACCGCGUGGGUGAAGAAGGUCUUCGGGUUGUAAAGCCCUUUUAUUGGGAAAGAAAAGCAGCAGGUUAAUACCCCGCUGUUCUGACGGUACCCAAAGAAUAAGCACCGGCUAACUUCGUG
rnacentral:rRNA from 1 species